GCCAAUAAACAUGGAUGACAAGCUACUAAGCCUCUGGCUUCCAGGUGGAGAGUCUGCAGGGUGUGCUGUACUGGACCGAGGGUUGGAGGGCGACGGUGGGGUGGGGUGGAGGGGUACCUCAGCUGCAGCCCUGCCUCUUCUGUCUCUUUUCCCGUUUGGCUGCAUCUUUCUGCUCCACUUCCGGUUGCCAGGAAACAGCAAGACGUGCCGUUGCUUUUAAAUAAACGGAACGAUUUUUGUAUAUGGGUUUUGCACAAAAAUUUCUUUGAUUUAACAAUAAAGUCUGUCAAUCUGAAAAAAAAAGCAUACGAAAAAUUUUCUACUAAAGAAAGGACAGAAAAUCUAUGUUUUUGGUGUAAGAUAUCUUGGGUUUGUUUCCUUCUUUUUAGACGCAGAUGGAUGUAGCUGAGUCAAUGAAGGAGUGUACUUGCACCAAAAUCAUUUCUUUGUCCAAAGAGGGAAGCAGAAAAGACAUCCCAUUAGAGGGGGGGAAAAAAAAAGAAAAAGAACCAGAAAUUUAAAAAAAAAAUUGAUAUUGCAGAGUCUAGAAAAAGCUUAGAGAAGGGCUCUGGAAUCCGACAGGCUGUUGCAGUCAUUUGCCUUGCCAAAAACCCACCCAGCAGUUCUUUAAAAAAAAAAAAAUAGCCCAUUGGGACUGAAAACAUUGACUAAUAAUUCUUGAAUCCAUCUCCACAAUAUUAUUCAUCCCUGCCAAGGUCAGGCUUGGUCACCGCAUGGCUGGAGGUCUGGGCAUGCUGUUCCCAGUUUUAUUUUUACAGUAGUUAUGGAAGCCUUUAUAUUUUCAAGGGCCCUCCUGUCACUUAUUACCCACCCAUCCAGACCACCCACUCACGCUCCCACACACAACACAUCCCAACACACCCACAACGGCCCAGAGUCUUUAAACCUGAUGGUGAUUUGAGCUACAGGAAUAUUGUUUGCUCCAAAUGACUUUGGUUUCCCAAAAUAGAUCUGUUUCCCCUCUCUCAGGGGACCCAUCCGUGGCUCCUUCCACUCAGCAAACAUUUACAGAGCACCUACUGUGUGUGGAGCACAGAUGGAUGUAGGAGCUAAAGGAAGCGCACCGGGAGGCGGAGAGAUGCAAGAGGUCCAGGCUGGCCUUUGUUUCCUGCUAAGGAAGCAGGCACUCGCCUUUCCUGUUGGACCAAAGGCAGACAGGAAUCCGUUCCACCCGGGCAGUUGUUCUGUGCUAGUGACUAAACCAGAUUUCUCCAGUCACUCCAUCCUCCUCUAACCUUUAGCGGGAAAGAGUGGUUCGGGACAAGUUACUCUGGUAGAGCAGCCUUAUAGUGAUGUCAUGGCUCAUGUGAAUCAGAAAGGCCAGAGAGAUGGUGAGAAAGAAAGAAUAAAAGAACCACCAGAACAGCAGCCCCCCCCCCAUCAACUCACUCUACUCUCCUCUCAGGUGGGAAACGUAAGAACUCGGUUGGUUAGCA